rnacentral:rRNA from 1 species
UACGGAGGGUGCAAGCGUUAUCCGGAUUCAUCUGGGUUUAAAGGGUGCGUAGGUGGGUCAGUUAAGUCAGUGGUGAAAUCUCCGGGCUCAACCCGGAAAACUGCCAUUGAUACUAUCUGUCUUGAAUAUCGUGGAGGUAAGCGGAAUAUGAUCUGUAGCAGUGAAAUGCUUAGAUAUGACAUAGAACACCAAUUGCGAAGGCAGCUUACUACCCGAAUAUUGACACUGAUGCACGAAAGCGUGGGGAUCAAAACAGG